rnacentral:rRNA from 1 species
UACGUAGGGUGCGAGCGUUAAUCGGAAUUACUGGGCGUAAAGCGUGCGCAGGCGGUGAUGUAAGACAGGUGUGAAAUCCCGGGCUUAACCUGGGAACUGCAUUUGUGACUGCAUCGCUGGAGUGCGGCAGAGGGGGAUGGAAUUCCGCGUGUAGCAGUGAAAUGCGUAGAUAUGCGGAGGAACACCGAUGGCGAAGGCAAUCCCUGGGCCUGCACUGACGCUCAUGCACGAAAGCGUGGGGAGCAAACAGG